GUGGGGAAUAUUGCGCAAUGGAGAAGAACUCUGACGCAGCAAUACCGCGUGAGCGAAGAAGGUCUUCGGAUCGUAAAGCUCUGUUAUCAGGGAAGAAGAAAAUGACGGUACCUGAUGAGCAAGUCCCGGCUAACUACGUGCCAGCAGCCGCGGUAAUACGUAGGGGACAAGCGUUGUCCGGAAUCACUGGGCGUAAAGGGCGCGCAGGCGGUGAUUUAAGCAGGAUGUGAAAGGCUACGGCUCAACCGUAGACAUGCACCCUGAACUGGGUCACUUGAGUAUUGGAGAGGCAGGCAGAAUUCCUGGUGUAGCGGUGAAAUGCGUAGAUAUCAGGAGGAAUACCGGAGGCGAAGGCGGCCUGCUGGACAAAUACUGACGCUGAGGCGCGAAAGCGUGGGGAGCAAACAGGAUUAGAAACCCCAGUAGUCC
rnacentral:rRNA from 1 species